rnacentral:rRNA from 1 species
GUCUACAACCAUACCACCCUGAACAUGCCAGAUCUCUUCAGAUAUCAGAAGCUAAGCAGGGUCAGGCCUGGCUAGUACUUGGAUGAGAGAAGUGCCAGUGAUGGUUAUGUUCU